AAAGUCGGGCUAUGCCCCUUUGGAUCACAAGUUUUGUUUCAUGCUUCUGACAACCGACAUUCAUUGGCAUAAAUUAAGUAGUGAAGAGUCUAAGCUCGGUCAGGUAUAUCAUUUGAAAUUUAACAUGAAGAUCUUAAGUUGGGAAAAACAAAAGACUGAUAUGAGUAAUUGCUACAGCGGAAGUCUAACAUAGGAAUUUAUCGCUAGCCUCAGCUCCGUCCCGUCAGCACCAGCCAGCCAACCUGAAAACAUUUGAAAGUAUUUUUGGGCUAAGUACUAAUGUACUUAGUGGGCAUGCAUUUUCUGAAACAUCUCAUAUUUUAAUAAAGACAGUUUAUCCAAUUAUACUUGACAUGACUUAGAAGGUUUUAAAAUGAAAUAACUUCUAAGCAUGUUAAAAUAUUUUCUUUCAUUUGUGCGCACAUGUCACACUCCCUUUCUGUUACUCGCUGUGAUCCCGGACCUUUUAGCCACCGACGGAUCUCUGUCUCCUGCUUACUUGAACUGAGGGCGUAACCCAGACAAGUUUACUUUGACCUCGGGACGCUACCCAGGCAGGCCUGAUAUUUCUCAUGCUCCGGAACACAUCCAGCCGAGCACCCUUAUAACGCCUCUGGUUAGAGCCCGAUGGAGAUCAACCCACCGAGUCAACUAACAAGUGUACACAAUUCUCAAACAACGUAUUAGGUCAUAAGAGAACCUCAAUUGAUUAACUGUGCGAGCCUUAAACAGAGCAGAGUGCACAUAAAUAUUUUAUUGGAUAAACAGUUUUCAUUACAUUAAAUAAACAAUUUGCAUUUCAUUGAAACAUUUAGAGCUUAAUAACUCAAUCAUACUUUGUACAUUUGGAAAGUAAGCCCACCUGGAUAGGCAAAGCCUGUCGUAUAACCUUAACCUGAAUCGGAAAAGCAGCGCUAAUCCUCCUGAUGCACAAAGCCUACAAGAAAUUCUAUUCUCAAUAGGUCUCUUGAAUCUAAUCUUAAGUCAUGGUGUAGUGCUUAAUAUUCUAUGAUUCACUUAGCCGGGUUUUCAAAAUUUAAUAAAUAAAUAAUUGAAAACUAAAUUCUUGAGUUAAGGACACCAACAAUAUCCUUACUCGAUUUUCUUUAGAUAAUUGGAAUUAUAAUUAAAACCAAUUAAAUACUUUUAUUGCAAAAUAAAUGCAAUUUCAUGUCAUGCUUAACAUAUAAUAAGAAAUUACUUAAAAUAUGCUAAUAAUAAUAAUUUAAUAUUAUUAUAAAAAUUUACUCUUUGAAAAUAAUUAAUUAAACUUAAUAAGUCUAAUUAAUUAUAAUAGUGUAGCUCCUUUAAAUAAAAUCUGCACAAAUCCAAUUAAAUUAAUACUUGGGCAGCCCAUGAUUUAAAAUAAUUAAAGGCCCAGCUUAAAAAAAAAUCGGCCCAACUGACUCGGCCCAAAAUUAAGAAAUAACCCAGCCCAUUUAAUUAAAAAUAUCGGCCCAAAAACUCAUAAAAAAUCGGCCCAUUGAAAAUUUAAAACAAAGGCCCAACAUUCAAAGCCCAAUAAUCAAAACCAAUUCCCAAAACCCAAACCUAAAGCCCACACUCCCUCCCCCUUCUUCUUCUUCACAGAUCACACGCCUCUCACGCACACACACAUAGCUUUUCUCUUUCUCCCUCAGUUCCGCCAUAUCCGCCCCUUCUCCCUCGAAAUUCCGCCGCCGCGGCUCCUCCUCCGGCGAGAAGCCGACGACCGGCCCUCUCACUCUCCCUCAUCUUCUUCUCCCUCGUUUUCCCUCUACCUAGCCACCCGUCGAUCUCUCUCCUCCUUGGCGACGGCGAGACGCCACCACCUCCCUCCAUCUAGCAGACUCCCGGCGACAGCAGCCCAGACCGCCGCCGUUCUCCGCUCAGAUCUCCGAUCCUCAUCUCUCUUCUCUAGUUCCGGCCGCAGCCGUUCUCCCCUCUGUUCACCGAACCCGGCGGGAACAGCCUCUGUUCUCCCUCUCUCCCUUGGCCACGACGGACGCCGCCGCCUCCCUCGGCCUCCCUCUGUGCAACAUCCGGCGACAGCAGCCAUGGCUGCCGCCGUCGACUCUCGUCUGACUCACAGACGCUCACACACACAGACCCUGAUUCCCUCCCCUCUCAGUUUUUCGCCCUUGGCCGGACAGCAGCGGCACCGCCGCCGUGCCCUGCUUCCCUCCAUUCUCUCAUCCGCCUCAGUCAUCUUCUCCCUCAACUCGCCAGCCGACCGACAGUGGCGCCGAGCCACCGCCUUCGACCAGAGCCCAGACUCGACAGACAAGGAAACAAAAUCAAGGCUCAAACUUUUCUUUCUUCUUUUCAACAAGAAUGUUUCAUGAAAAUAGAAAUACAUAUUUGUAUGCUCAUGUAUGUAAAUGUCAUUUUGUUUCAAAAACUUGAUACACGAAACUGAAUUUGCUAUAUGGGAAAUCAGUAGCGUGUGAUUCAAUUGAAUGGCUGAAAAUCUUAACAUGAUAUCAAUGGGUUGCUCAAUCGAAAAGGGAAAUAAAGCAACGAGUUAAAGUUUGAACCUUUAGAAUUUCACUUCAAUUUCUGAAAUGGUUGGCUGCUAAGUUUGUUUGGUUGCUCUGCUCUUGAACUUUGUUUGGGGUGAUGGAACGAAGAGAGUGUGUGAGAUGAAGUGGAAAGCAUGAUUGAAAUUCCAUAGUGAUGAAUGAGGUGUAAUGCAUGUAUGAUAGUGAUGAAUG
rnacentral:lncRNA from 1 species